GCACGCAAGUAUACGCAACGCAAGUCGUCAUCGCACGGGACGGGACGAGUCGAGGUCCAAGUCGCUCGAGCGCAAGCCCGCCGUCGCUCUCGCGUCCGCCGCAGCUCCGACCUUCCAGAAGCUUCCGGGAGCCGUCCAUGGCCACCGCGCCCGCGCCGACCGCAGCCGCCCCCGCGCCCGCCGCCGCGGCCGCGGCCGUCCCGUCCGCGUCGGUGCCGCGCGGGCAGGUGGAUCUGGUCGACUUCAUCGACUGGACCGGCGUCGAGUGCCUCAACCAGGACCCCGCCCACGGCAUCGCCAACGCCCUCAAGCAGGGUUACAGGGAGGAUGAGGGGCUGCACCUCGCCAGCGACUCGGACGAGCAGCUGCUGAUCUACAUCCCCUUCAUGCAGGUCAUCAAGCUGCAUUCCGCGCUCUUCAAAGGCCCCGAGGAAGAAGGCCCAAAGACAGUUAAACUCUUCUCCAACAGAGAGCAUAUGGGUUUCAGCAACGUCAAUGACUUCCCUCCAAGUGACAGUGUUGACCUGUCAUCCAGCCAUUUACUGGAAAGUAAGCCUGUCACGCUAAAGUAUGUGAAGUUCCAGAAUGUUCGCAGCCUGACUAUGUUUAUCGAAGACAAUCAAAGCGGAGCUGACAUCACAAAAAUUCAGAAGAUCGCGCUUUAUGGAACCACGUAAGUUCUGUUAGCACCUAGUAUUUCAUAAUUUGCACUGGAUGUCUGGAUGCACAUAUUAUAUUGUCCUUUUAGCUGGACUGCUCAGAUUGUGGGAGAUCUGUGAUUAGUUGUGCCAUCAGGAAUCAGCAUCAUUAGUUCCUGAAGCUGCACAAUAACCCAGAAGUAUUUGUGUUGUAUAUUCUUAGCAACAGCUUAUUUUGGAAAGAAAAGAUAAUUGUAGGGUGAAAGCCAUUAUUUUAGCAAAUCAGAACUGAAUUUGCAAGAGUCAUUACUGUAUCGAGGCAAUGGCGAAGUUUAAGCUCUUAUUUCCCUUAUCGUAGAUAAAAAAAUCACUUCAUAGAUAUUGCAGACUGAUUUUUACCCCCCAUAUACACAUUUGAUGAAAAUCAGUCAUUACUUGUGAUUCAUCUCCUGAACACAUUUUUUUUUGUUCUUUUGCCAGUGUGGACACAACAAAUAUGAAGGACCUGAAGAAGAUAGAA